UACGUAGGAGGCAAGCGUUUGUCCGGAAUUACUGGGCGUAAAGCGCGUGUAGGCGGAUGCCUAAGUCUGUGGUGAAAGCGCCUGGCUUAACCGGGCGAGGUCCAUGGAAACGUAGGCGUCUGGAGGCCGGUAGAGGGGGGUGGAAUUCCGGGUGUAGUGGUGAAAUGCGUAGAGAUGUGGAGGAAUACCGAUGGCGAAGGCAGCCCCCUGGGAUAACACUGACGCUCAUGCACGAAAGCGUGGGGAGCAACAGG
rnacentral:rRNA from 1 species